GCAGGAGUGUGCCAAAAAAGGAAACUGCACCUACUGUACAGGUACAGUAAAUACUAUAACAAGCUAGAAGAACUAUUUAUUUACAUAGACUCAAAAUCCGCCGCCCGCAAGGGCUUGAGAGUUCGAGUCUCUCUUCCGGCACCA
rnacentral:tRNA from 1 species